rnacentral:rRNA from 1 species
AUUGAACGCUAGCGGCAUGCCUUACACAUGCAAGUCGAACGAGCGGCGGACGGGUGAGUAAUAUAUUGGCAGUGCCCAAUAGAGGGGGAUAACUACUGGAAACAGUGGCUAAUACCGCAUACUAUCGGAUAACCCAUAUGGGAUUAGCUAGUAGGUGGGGUAAAGGCUCACCUAGGCGACGAUCCCUAGCUGGUCUGAGAGGAUUAUCAGCCACACUGGGACUGAGACACGGCCCAGACUCCUACGGAGGCAGCAGUGGGGAAUAUUGCACAAUGGGCGCAAGCCUGAUGCAGCCAUGCCGCGUGUAUGAAGAAGGCCUUAGGGUUGUAAAGUACUUUCAGUCGGGAGGCGUUACCGGCAGAAGAAGCACCGGCUAACUCCGUGCCAGCAGCCGCGGUAAUAC